CUCCCGCGCCCACGGCCUUGUCCAGGCAAGAACACUGCAGUGGGUUGGGAUUUCCUUCUCCAGCCCAGUUGUAGAGCUUAGGACAAAUCGCAGGUGGCGGAUUCUGAGGCUGGACCACGAAUGACUGUAUUUUCAGUACGUUUUUUAAUCCUGUGCAAAGAACAAAGCCACUGAAACAGCCGUGGAGCGCAGUGCUCAGCAAAAACGAAUCAGCCUCCCUGACUUCAGACUAUAUAUAGCACAAAGUAACAGUAAACAAGACAGUAUGGUCACUGACUUGUCAUGGCGAAGGGGCUUGCCUAACCCAAUGAAGCUAUGAACUAUGCCGUGUAGGGCCACCCAAGAUGAAUGGAUCAUAGUGGAGAGUUCUGACAAGACAUGAUCCACUGGAGGAGGGAACGGCAAACUACCCCAGUUUACUUGCUAUCAGAACCUCAUGAACUGUAUAAAAGGACAAUGUCAAUUAUACCUCAA